rnacentral:rRNA from 1 species
AAUUGACAUGGGCGAAGCUGAUCCAGCAUGCCGGUGCAGGAAGAAGGCCUUCGGGUUGUAAACUGCUUUUGUCAGGGAAGAAAUCUUCUGGGCUAAUACCCUGGGAGGAUGACGGUACCUGAAGAAUAAGCACCGGCUAACUACGUGCCAGCAGCCGCGGUAAUACGUAGGGUGCAAGCGUUAAUCGGAAUUACUGGGCGUAAAGCGUGCGCAGGCGGUUAUGCAAGACAGAGGUGAAAUCCCCGGGCUCAACCUGGGAACUGCCUUUGUGACUGCAUGACUAGAGUACGGCAGAGGGGGAUGGAAUUCCGCGUGUAGCAGUGAAAUGCGUAGAUAUGCGGAGGAACACCGAUGGCGAAGGCAAUCCCCUGGGCCUGUACUGACGCUCAUGCACGAAAGCGUGGGGAGCAAACAGGAUUAGAUACCCUGGUAGUCCACGCCCUAAACGAUGUCAACUGGUUGUUGGGAGGGUUACCUCUCAGUAACGUAGCUAACGCGUGAAGUUGACCGCCUGGGGAGUACGGCCGCAAGGUUGAANA